AUGCUGCAGGUAGCUGCCCCCUUGGGGCUGGGGGCCACUGGUCUGAGGGUGAGGCAGGGACAGACUGGCUCAGGGGGUAGGAAAUGGGGCACCUGGUCUUGCCCCUCAAAGGGGGCUCCAGCAGUCCUCUGGCCCCAGGGUAGGAGGCUGUCUAGCUGCAUGGAAGCUGCAACCCCCCAGCUACGUCUCCCCGCUCCCCACACAGAUCCUCUGCACAAUGGAGCUGAGUGCCCGGUGUGUCUGGCUCUCACACCUGAGGACUGUGCUGAUUCCAAGAAGAUCAAGUGUCUUGGCAAGGAAACCUACUGCUUCAAUGGCACCCAGACCGUUAGCAUCGAAGGCGCCAAAGUGUCUAUGGUGCUGCAGACCUGCGUGAAGCCAAACAGCUGCAGUUUGAUGUCCAAUUUCCAGAACCUCAUCACCGUCAAGGAGCAGGGGAACUGCUUUCAUGGGAUGCCCCACACCAGCACCACGAUCUCAGCCAGCCCCAGCCUCCUUACCCACUCCCUGCUGCUGCCCCUGGCAUUGAUCACUUACGGACUGUGACAGGGAGAAACCCGCACCUGUGUCCCACCCAAUUGGGCUGCGGGGUGACAGCAGCCACCAGCUGCCCUCCAGGGGCCCUGCACACCCUGCCAAUGGACACAGAAUCCCCCCUGCGAGGAUUAUUAAAGCGCAGCACACGGGGCAGUGCCUCCAUCAGUUUGUGGGGUCCACAGCAAGUUAACUCUGGGGUGAAGGGUGGGGUUCUCUGGGGUGUCUUGGAGAUGCUGGACACAGUGGGAACUGGAGGGCUGGGCGGGGAGCGAAUGCCAGGGGUCAGGAGUGACUCAACAGACUGUCCUGAGCACCGAGCACUGGGAGGAGGCCUGUCUCACCCCUGCACUGCGCUUGGAGCUGCCUUCUCCCCCAGCAACAGUGUGAGUCGGGGCAGCCUGGGGUUGCAACAUUGAUGGGAGGGACCUUGGGGGGGGGAGGAGGGAGUGUGGUGUCUCAGGUUACUGGGGCCAUUGGGGGUUGCCAUAGUGAUAAAUGGG
rnacentral:lncRNA from 1 species